AGUUUGGGCUCGUUUCGAUCGUUCCCUCGGCCUCUCCUUUAGGAGUCGUCGUCGGAUCGUUCGGUUGUCUCGACUUGUGAUGGGACGAUGCAUGAGUGGCGUUCGAGAUGUGUUUCUUUGCUGGCUCCAUGUCUCUGGCAUCGAACUGCAUUGGCUUAUCUCAUUCAUUAGUGGGCUCGCAUUAGCGUCUCCAUCGUUGGUUGCGGUUGCUCGUUGGGUUCCUGCGUUUAUAUCGUAUUCGAAAUCUGGAUGGAAAUCUAGUCCUGAAAUGGGUUGUCGAACCUCCCUCGCCUCGUGCGGCGUGGGUGGUUAUUUUGUUGUCAUCGACGUUUGCCUUAUGAACCGCAGCCCUCUAUGUGGUGCUCUUGUUCAUGAUGGCACGUCGAUGCAGCCGUCUCUCUCGGGUGCAGAGAAUUUUCGGUUAUUGCAUCGGUCCCUGACCCUUGUGUGCGUAACGUUUCAAAGCAUUGUCGCUUUUGGAUAUACGACCCUCGUUCUCGCCCGGGAGCUCACGGAGCUUAUUUGCUCGGUGGUGUACCUGGGGAGUCAUCGAGGUCGAGGACGGAAUCUACCUGGUUGAU
rnacentral:misc_RNA from 1 species